GCCGGGCAUGGUGGCGGGUGCCUGUAAUCCCAGCUACUCAAGAGGCUGAGGCAGGAGAAUCGCUUGAACCCGGGAGGUGGAGGUUGCAGUGAGCUGGGAUCGUGUCACUGCACUCCAGCCUGGGUGACAGAGUGAGACUCUGUCUCAA
rnacentral:SRP_RNA from 1 species